AUCCUGCCAGUAGUCAUAUGCUUGUCUCAAAGAUUAAGCCAUGCAUGUCUAAGUACAAAUUUUUUUAUAAAAGUGAAACCGCGAAAGGCUCAUUAAAUCAGUUAUGGUUCCUUAGAUAGUACCCACAUUUACUUGGAUAACUGUGGUAAUUCUAGAGCUAAUACAUGCAAACUGAGCUCCAACCGGUGACGGAAGGAGUGCUUUUAUUAGAUGAAAACUAAUAUGAUAUUAAAAACAAAAUUUUUUUUUUUUUUGUUUUUAUAUAUUGUUUAUAUUGAUGAAUCUGAGUAACUUAUGCAGAUCGUACGGUCUUUAGUACCGACGACGUAUCUUUCAAAUGUCUGCCUUAUCAACUGUCGAUGGUAGGAUCUGCGCCUACCAUGGUUGUAACGGGUAACGGGGAAUCAGGGUUCGAUUCCGGAGAGGGAGCCUGAGAAACGGCUACCACAUCCAAGGAAGGCAGCAGGCACCCAAAUUACCCACUCCCAGCACGGGGAGGUAGUGACGAAAAAUAACGAUACGGGACUCAUCCGAGGCCCCGUAAUCGGAAUGAGUACACUUUAAAUCCUUUAACGAGGAUCAAUUAGAGGGCAAGUCUGGUGCCAGCAGCCGCGGUAAUACCAGCUCUAAUAGCGUAUAUUAAAGUUGUUGCGUUUAAAAAGCUCGUAGUUGAAUUUGUGUCCCAUGCUGUUGGUACACCGCCCGCGGUGUCUCACUGACAUGCCAUGGGACGUCCUGCCGGUGGGUGUGUCAUACUUUAUAUGUUAUACUUUUGUAUAUUACACACAUAUACCAUAUGAUUAACUAUAUUUUACAAUGUAAUUUACAUACAUUCAUAUAUUUAUUAUAUUGUGAUAUGUUUAUAUAUACAUAUAUAAUAAAUUGUGGUGCACAUAUAUAUUUUUUUAUGGUUCCCCAAUAUAUAUAUAUAUUAAAUUAUAUAUACAUAUUAUUAAAAUUAAAAAUAAAAUUGUGGUGCAUUAUAUAUAUAUAUAUAUAUAUAUAUAUAUAUAUAAAUAAUUGUUUACCACAGUUAUUUAAAUUUUUUUUUUAUUUAUUCUAUUAUAAAAUAUAUAUUGGUCAUAAAUUUUAUUUAUAUAUGUUGCCAUACCAUUUUUUAUAUACAUAAUGCUGUACAUACAUAUAUUUUAUGUAUUGUAAAACAUUGAGUUUAUAUUAUAUAGUUAAUCGGUAAUAUGUUUAAAUGUGUAUUUAUAUGCAAUAGGUAUUUACAUAUAUUUGUUACGCCAUCCAAACUCAUAAAUCCUGUCGCGGUGCUCUUAAUCGAGUGUCGAGGCAGGCCGGCACGUUUACUUUGAACAAAUUAGAGUGCUCAAAGCAGGCUAAAAUUAUGCCUGAAUACAUUUAUGCAUGGAAUAAUGAAAUAGGACCUCGGUUCUAUUUUGUUGGUUUUCUGGAACAAUUAGAGGUAAUGAUUAAUAGGGACAGAUGGGGGCAUUCGUAUUGCGACGUUAGAGGUGAAAUUCUUGGAUCGUCGCAAGACGGACUAAAGCGAAAGCAUUUGCCAAAGAUGUUUUCAUUAAUCAAGAGCGAAAGUCAGAGGUUCGAAGGCGAUCAGAUACCGCCCUAGUUCUGACCAUAAACGAUGCCAGCUAGCGAUCCGCCGAUGUUCCUCCGAUGACUCGGCGGGCAGCUAUACGGGAAACCAAAGCUUUUGGGUUCCGGGGGAAGUAUGGUUGCAAAGCUGAAACUUAAAGGAAUUGACGGAAGGGCACCACCAGGAGUGGAGCCUGCGGCUUAAUUUGACUCAACACGGGAAACCUCACCAGGCCCAGACACUGGAAGGAUUGACAGAUUGAGAGCUCUUUCUUGAUUCAGUGGGUGGUGGUGCAUGGCCGUUCUUAGUUGGUGGAGUGAUUUGUCUGGUUAAUUCCGAUAACGAACGAGACUCUAGCCUGCUAAAUAGGCGUACAUAUUACCGGUAUCCAGAAGGCUCGUGUUCACCGCAUUAACUGGUGAUCAAUUUCACUUAUAUAUAUAUAUUAUAUAUAUAAAUACAUGUUACAUACUACAACACUCUUUAUCCUCUAUUUAUGUGUAUUUUUCUAUUAUGUGUUCAAUUUACAUACAGCAUGUGGUAACACACAUAUGUAUUGUAAGCCACAUUAUUAGAUUAUAUAUGUAUAUAUGGUAUAUUUGUGCUUGUGUGUGUACUACUGUUUUAUGUGUAUAUGUGUGUAUGUGAUUGUUUGUGAUCUGGGCGGUCUGUUCACGGUUUUUACUACCGGCGUACAUAUAUAUCUUCUUAGAGGGACUGGCGGCAUAUAGCCGCACGAGAUUGAGCAAUAACAGGUCUGUGAUGCCCUUAGAUGUUCUGGGCCGCACGCGCGCUACACUGAAGGAAUCAGCGUGUUUAUUCCUUGGCCGAAAGGUCCGGGUAAACCGUUGAAACUCUUUCGUACUAGGGAUUGGGGAUUGAAAUUAUUCCCCAUGAACGAGGAAUUCCCAGUAAGCGCGAGUCAUAAGCUUGCGUUGAUUACGUCCCUGCCCUUUGUACACACCGCCCGUCGCUACUACCGAUUGAAUGAUUUAGUGAGGUCUCCGGACCGGCACCCGGUGAUAUUUUUAAUAUUGCCGUUGUGUGCUGGGAAGUUGACCAAACUUGGUCAUUUAGAGGAAGUAAA
rnacentral:rRNA from 1 species